UCUGACCUCUAUAAUGACUGCCUGUUUACAUUCCUUUUCAAGUGCAAAUUAGGCAGAUAAUUGCCCAUAAUCAAGUUAGUGUCUUCCCCCCUCCCAUUUUCUGUCUAUCAGUUUCAUAAGACAGUCAUAGAAAAACCCUUACACACACACACCCAAUUAAACGAGUUGCUUAUUUUAAAUUAGCUAUGUAAAGUAAUUAACACUCACAAUACCAAUGAUUUCAAAACGGAUUAAAAAAAGAAUAGGGGGGGAAAUGAAUUGCAAAACAGGCACGGAAAGUUGUGACUUCUAAAUCCUCUCCACAAAGAUAGAGAAUAUCAGAAAUAAUGGAUAAUCCAAUGGCAAAUCUGAUUACUGCAGAAAUGGAGACCAUCACUAGUGAAGACCUAAAGAGCAGCUGGCAUGCCCAAGGAUGUUUGGUGCAGGGCUUGCAUGCGCAUGUCCUUGUUUCCGGUUUAACCCUUCAUGUGUCCAGGCUAAAGUCAGUGUGAAGAUGGCAGAUGGGAGGAAUAGAUUAGGCUUCACUGGGUGAUAUGCAGCUUUGAAGAUGCACCUAGGACUACUGGAGUAGAUUUAUUUAUUCAGAAAUGCUCCAAAAUGUGUUUAAAGAGUAAAGGUAUACUUACAAGAAGCGGGGCCAAAGGAGAUACCUGUGUGGGAAGAAAACUCCUCCAGUUAUUAUCAUAUGGUUUUAGACAAUGAUUCAUACUUUCAUGGCAAUAAACAUUGGCACUUACCAAACCUUAACAACUUAGAUCAGGGGCUGCCAACCUGGUGGUGCCUGUCAGCAGGGCUCAUCAGGUCUUAGCCCAGAACAUAUGCAAAGAGUGCCCCUGUGCACCUGGAAGAGUAUUUUCUAUGCAUCACCAGUCACAUGCAUAGAACACUCUUGGGAGAGCCACAGAUAGGACUAAAAGAAUCUUAUCCAUAUAUUGGCUCAACAUCCAGGAUUUAACUAUGUGAGUUUUUAUCUUAUCUGGGGUAGAUAAUGGCAGGUUUUUCAAAACAGGAAAAAUAUUACAGAAUAAGAAUAAGCAAACAAAAAUGGGACACAAUCCAACAUCAGAGUUCUCCCCUACACAUCCCAAGUGCCCCCUUGAAUUCCCACAGGGGAAGAAUGGGAUAAAAAUCACAUAAAUAAAACUCCACACAUGGAGGCUUUGUGUGUUGGUACUGGCAUGCCAAACAGGCCCAUCAUCAGUCCAUGGCAUCCUUGGGCAACUGCGGGGCUGUCCUGUCCCCCCAUUUCUAGCGGUUUGGGGCCACUAUUUUAAACAUUACAUAAUGCCCUGGAAUCACACUGUGUCAGAGGCAUUGUGGGAAAUUUAAAAUGGCAGCUUUUCUGACAAAGACUGCAGUUGCCCCUGCUGCCAGUUUAACUGGGGCUCACUAGAGAUCACUUUGCUGACGGCCUCCUCAAGCCCCAUAGCUGGCCCUGAUGCCAAAAGCUAAAUCUGGGCCGAGUCCUCCAUAGGCUCUUUCAUUUGAUUAAGUUCUUUCCCUUUUCCUCAUGAGGUCGUCAUUUUAAAGCCUGUGGGCAGGAUCUGUUCCCUUUAAUACCAUAUAGCACCCGUUUGCUGAUGCACUUUUAAAUAUUAUUCUGUCAGUGGUUUCUGAUGGCCAGGGCCAGUGCUUCCAUUAAGCAAGAUGAGGCAACUGUCUCAGGCUGUGGUGGUGGAUUAGUUUCCCGCAGCACGUCUGCGUGCUCUACAAGCUGUGCUGUCACUCAGCUGCUGCCACCUGCCCAACUCUUGUGGGUCUCUCCAGAGGGGUCCUUCCUCAGACUGAGGCAUUCUAGGCGGGGUGGCCUGGGAGAGCGCCUGUCCUGCCACUGCUUUUCUGUGGUGGCGAACAGAAAUUCUUUUUAAAAAUGAGUUAAAUGUUAAGGGUGGAAUUCAAUGCUAAUCCUACUCAGAGUAAACCCACUUAAGUUAAUAGACGUGACUAACUCAGGUUCAUUAAUUUCAGUGGGCCUACUACUUUGAGUGGGACUUAGGGGAAUGCAACCUUAAGUUUUAAAUUUAGUUAAAAAAGAAUUUCAUGUCGCUGUGGAAAAAUGGUGGUGGAGGCAUCUUGCCCAAAAUGCCUCCCUCCGAGGAAAGACCCCUAUGAGGUAGAGAGGCUGCCAGCACCGCUACCAUAUUAGCAACAGCAAAAUACUUGAAAAGGGAGGAGGGAAUAGGGCAAUGGCUUGCCCUGGUCCUGCUCAUGAUUGCCUUACCUUGGCUAAUGAGCAGCAGGGCAAGUCAGCAAGGGUUGGCUCUGUCCUAAAGCCGCUAUGGGCUCGGGAGGCUUGGUCCAGUGGUUUUAUGGCUGCGCAGAUGAUCUCAGGUGAUCUGCAUAGAUGAGGGUCCCAGGCAGAUGGUCUGAAGGCACAUAAGGCCAGCUCCCUGCUGAAGUUAAGCAGGGUCAGGUGUGGUCAGUGCCUGGAUGGGAGACCGCCUGGGAACCAUAUGUAAGCCGCCUUGGGUUUCAUGAAAAGAAAGGUGGGGUAUAAAUGUAAUAAAUAAUAAAUAAAUAAAUCUCUGGAAACUUACUUCUACAGACAGCUGAAGUUGUGGCUUCUGGGGAACUGCUCUUCUUCAGGCUUGACCGACAUUCCAAAGAGGCUGCAGGAGUUGUCUUGAGGUCAUCCAGUGGAGCAGUUAACAGAAUUCUGGAAGUGCAAUUCUCUGAGGAAUGGAGAUAGAGAUCUCAGCAAAUUACAGUUCCCAGGAUCUGAACUGGGUUGUAUGUCCACUUUCCUUAUGAAAAAUGGCGAUUCUAUUCCACCUGGCUAAAUAAGAGGGAAUAUAGCGAGAGUUUCUCCAUCAGCUCUGCUGAAGCCAAUUGUCGUUUGGCUCCUCCUCACUCACAGCUGUCUCCAUCAGCAGCCGUUUCACCUGGCAGCAUUAGAGGUAAUGUUUCUCCUAGAUGGACAAAGUGGAAAGAAUAAAACAGAGCUGAUAAUGGAAAUCUUUCAAGAAUUUGAACAAAAGGCAAACACAGCAUUGGAUUUUGAUUUCAAAAUUUCUGAUAAUAAUUUGAUGAAAUUUAGUCAGAUUAUGAUCAAAUGGGCAAUGACCCCACUUCUGUGGUGUGACACAUGGAAGCUGAUCUGAAUUUUGUGACUGUAUGGCACUAUUGAUAGGUUAAAUACUCUAGCUGGACAUGAUCAGUGGCCUAAUUCAAAAUUUGAUUGAGCAAAUUUACAUACAGAAAUCAAUACUGAAAUAUGUGACUAGGCAAAUCCCCAAAUUUCCCUGUAAAAAUUACCAUAAUAUUGGCACACUGUUUUGUUUCAAACUCCCUAUCAGUUUGAUCUCCUUUCCUUUCUAUUAGCCAAAGAAACAUAUUUCUCUGCAGGUUUCAUGCAAACAAUCUAUGUAUGUUGACAAUACUCUUCCAGCGACUUCCGGGAAGGGUGACUUCGCUUGUGCCUGCUUUUUGAGAUGAGCUCUCGUCUCAGAAGAAGCUUUUUCAGUUUUAAAAUCAGUCAGAACGUUCUUUUUGACUGGUAAAGAUUUUCUCCCGGGCAGGGAGAAACGUAGAGAUUAACCACUAAAGCCUGUUUUUGUUGGGAGGACUGGAUUUCAUUAAUUUAUGAGAGAAGGUUCAGCCAACAAUGCCGGACGGACUUCCAACAAGCUCUAACUGAUUAAGCGACACGUUUAUCUUUUCUUCAAAGAAAAACGGACUUUAACAGGCAAGCAUCCUUCUUUCUAUUUUUUUUCACUUGGUUUAAAUCGUUGCAGCAAAAAGAGAUUUGUCAAUGAAUCAGCUAUAAAGAAUUUCUGGGUGAGUUAUAACUCUUCUCUUUUAUUCACGAAAUUAAGGAGGAAAGAAAUUGAAAAAGCCUAUCUUUGUUUUUAUUGCAAAAAGCUGGCCUGGAAGUGCAUUCUAAAGAUACAAACGGAAGAGGGAUUUCUAUUUCGAGGAGGGAAAAAAAUAAAUAAAUUUGAUUUAUGAACUUUGGAGUAUUAUAUGUCUGGGACUAUUUUCUCUUUGGUCUAUUUCAUUUUGACGAAUCUACUUGUUCACGAUGCCACUAACUGUUUUGAAGCUGGGAACUAAAUUUGUUUUGUAUUCCUGAACAUAUAAGAGAUAAGGCAGGCUGUAUGUCUACACUGUGAUGUCAUCAAGCCUGGAAUAUUAACCCAAUUGUGGCUGAAAUAAUUUUUGUUUUUGUGGUUUUAAGAAUGGCAAUCAGGAAAGUGGAUGAGACCAUGGAAGAAAUUAUGUUUCAGAAAAUAAUGGAUGAGAUUGAGAUAACAAAACAAACCCUGAGACAGGGUAGACAGGAGAUGAAAAUUGAAUUUGGCAAAAUGACGCAGGAGCUUAAAGAAAUAGGGGAUCUUGUGAGAGAGGGGAUUUAUGAGAUUAGAGAUGAGAAAAGAAAAAUUAAAGGGAAGAUACAAGCCCUGGAGAUUGGAACAAAUGUGGAAUUGGAAAAAGAUCUGGAGUUUAUGGAUAUUAGAAACAAAGUUUACUGUUUGGAAUUCAACGUUGUCUCUGAAGAAAUUAAUGAAGAUAUUAGAGAUAAAGUUAUCACUGUCUUGGAUAAUUUUUUUGGACUGGAAUGAUGUGAUGGAGCUUGACAUAGAAAAAAUCUAUGGAAUUAACUACAGAUAUGUGACAAUGGAAAAGUUCUUAAGAGAUGAGCCAGUGCAUUUUGUAAAAAAGAAGAACAGAGAUAUGACUUUACAACAAUAUUUCAGCAACAUAUUCAGAAUUGAUGGCAAGGAAAUAUUUGUGAUAAAGGAAAUUCCCAUCAGACUCUUAUUAUAUGACUAUGGCUAUGACAGCAAGAUUAAUAUGGGAUACUGAUAAUGGAAGAAUGGCUACUGAAAUUACUGGACUUAACAGGAUUAUUGAUAAUGGAAGAAUGGCUACUGAAAUUAUUGGACUUAACAGGAUUAUUGAAGAUGGAAGAUGGAAUUAACAUUGAUAAUGGAAGAAUGGCUAUUGAAAUUAUUGGACCUAACAGAUUUGAACGAGAUGGAUUAAUCGACAUGUUUAUUUGGAGAAAAAUUGAAAGAUAUAUCUCUCAAGGAACUGAAACCUCUCUUUGACUUUUUGUGGAAAGAAUAAAGUAAUGUUUAUGAGAUUUGAUGAUUAAUUAAGAUAACUACUGGAGGAAAGUGAUUUUAUAAUAUAAUUUAGGAGACAGGAUUGUUAUAUAUUGUAGACUUAUAACGGAUCUGCGACAAAUCGGAA